rnacentral:tRNA from 1 species
GCUAACUAAGUGUCUAUCGCACAUUGAUUUUUCACGUCAAAAGAGCACACAGUGCAUUUAGCU